ACACUGACCCUUCCUUAAGUCUUCAUAACGUUGAUGCCCCACAGAAGGGCAUUGGAUCCCACUACAGAUGGUUGUGAGCCACCAUGUGGUUGCUGGGAAUUGAACUCAUGACCUCUGGAAGAGCAGUCAGUGCUCUUAACUGCUGAGCCAUCUCUCCAGCCCUCAUGGAGAACUUUAAAGCAGUCAGUCUUAAGGCUUUUCUUGUGUUCUGGGAUAACCACCCACACCAAGUUGGAUGGAAGACUCCUGAAGCUCCCCCAAAGACUGAAGCCACUAUGGUUGUCUGUGGAAGAACCCCGCCUUUCUCCCACCUGUAAAAGGAGUCACUGAGGGUUCACAGAAUUAAAUUGUCGAUAGAGGGCGCCAGAGGAUGGGGAAGAAACUACAGACAAGGGCAUUGGCAUAUUUCUUUGGUUUAAAUUACAAUUAAAAAAAUUGAAAAGGAAAAAAAUUGAAAA
rnacentral:lncRNA from 1 species